rnacentral:rRNA from 1 species
GAUGAACGCUAGCGGCAGGCCUAAUACAUGCAAGUCGGACGGGAUUCAGGAGCUUGCUUCUGAUGAGAGAGGCGCACGGGUGCGUAACACGUAUGUAACCUACCUUUAUCAGGGGGAUAGCCCCUCGAAAGAGAGAUUAAGCCCGCAUAAAAUCACAGCACAGCAUUGUGUAAUGAUCAAAUAUUUAUAGGAUAAAGAUGGGCAUGCGGAACAUUAGCUAGAUGGCGGGGUAACGGCCCACCAUGGCGACGAUGUUUAGGGGAUCUGAGAGGAUGGCCCCCCACACUGGUACUGAGACACGGACCAGACUCGUACGGGAGGCAGCAGUAAGGAAGAUAGGGCAAGGAGCGGAAGCGUGAACCAGCCAUGCCGCGUGCAGGAAGACCGGCCUACGGGUUGUAAACUGCUGUGAUACGGGAAUAAACCCAGAUACGUGUAUCUGGCUGAAGGUACUGUAAGAAUAAGGAUCGGCUAACUCCGUG